GACGAACGCUGGCGGCGUGCUUAACACAUGCAAGUCGAGCGGAAAGGCCCUUUCGGGGGUACUCGAGCGGCGAACGGGUGAGUAACACGUGAGUAAUCUGCCCUGGACUCUGGGAUAGCCACCGGAAACGGUGAUUAAUACCGGAUAUGACACCUUGCUGCAUGGUGGGGUGUGGAAAGUUUUUUCGGUCCAGGAUGUGCUCGCGGCCUAUCAGCUUGUUGGUGAGGUAAUGGCGCGCCAAGGCUUUGACGGGUAGCCGGCCUGAGAGGGUGACCGGUCACACUGGGACUGAGACACGGCCCAGACUCCUACGGGAGGCAGCAGUGGGGAAUAUUGGACAAUGGGCGGAAGCCUGAUCCAGCAACGCCGCGUGAGGGAUGACGGCCUUCGGGUUGUAAACCUCUUUCAGUACCGACGAAGCGAAAGUGACGGUAGGUACAGAAGAAGGACCGGCCAACUACGUGCCAGCAGCCGCCGUAAUAC
rnacentral:rRNA from 1 species